CAUGAAUUGUCCAAAACUCCAACCCCCAAUCUCUCAAAAAACCCAGACCAGAUCAAAACAAAGCUGCCCCUUAAGAACCGACUCAGCAAGAUCAAAAAGCAAAUCCGAGAAAAGCCUGUGCCUUUUGGUGAAAACCAACCCAAGAAACAAAGAUCAGAAGAAACUAAAGACUCAGGAGAAAAAUGUGGUUGGUGUAUGUCUGUGAUGAGGAAGAGAAGGAGCUGGGGAGGCAGCAAGCCCCUGGAUCAUGCCCACACUGUGGAGGCAAAGUGCAGGCUGUGGAUGUUGAGGCCCAGUGGAAGUUUUGCUUUCUGCCCAUGUGCUUCAAGAUCAAGAGAAAGUAUUUCUGCACUCUCUGUGCCAGGCGCUUGGUCUUGUACUACUAACAACAAGUUCAACAACACCAGCAUAUACAUUUAGCAGCAGAGACCAAGAAAAUUCAAGCUCUCUCUCUCUCUCUCUCUCUCUCUCUCCAUGUAUUUUAUUUGUGGCCCUUUUGGGUUACAAUGGGAUUCAGGAACCAUGGGGUUUUGUUGUAAAAAUGAUUGUUGGAUGGUUCUUGAUUUGAAUGCAAGUUUUCCAUUAAAUUAUUUACUGGUUGAAAUGUUUUGGGUCCC
rnacentral:lncRNA from 1 species